rnacentral:rRNA from 1 species
UACGAAGGGGGCAAGCGUUGUUCGGAAUUACUGGGCGUAAAGGGCGCGUAGGCGGCCGAUCAAGUCAGGCGUGAAAUUCCCGGGCUCAACCUGGGGGCUGCGCUUGAUACUGAUUGGCUUGAAUGCGGGAGAGGAUAGUGGAAUUCCCAGUGUAGAGGUGAAAUUCGUAGAUAUUGGGAAGAACACCAGUGGCGAAGGCGGCUAUCUGGCCCGUGAUUGACGCUGAGGCGCGAAAGCGUGGGGAGCAAACAGG